rnacentral:sRNA from 1 species
CGGGCAUGCCCUUCUUGGGCGUUUCCUCCCUGGACUUGGCCGCUCCCGUUCCCGCGGGGGCGGCCCUUUUCUCGGGUCAA